ensembl:lncRNA
GCCAGAUUCAGUGUUUAUUGACAAUUGACAGUGAGGAGUGGACAUCAUCAUAACUAUUCCAAUCAAUCAUAAACACACUCGACUGACAAUGACAAUACAAUUACAAUACAGAUCAUUCGCUCGGUCAGCAGGGUGCGGUAUUCUCGUACACUGGGAGUAAACUGCUAUUAAACGAAACCGAAGAAGAAGAAAACAUCUGCACAUGCGCAGUACGGAUCGGGUAGACCCGAUUUGUACGGUCCGUCUUUGCACAUGCGCAGUAAGGAUCGGAGAGUCCUGAUCCGUAACUACCUUUUUAUUUUUUAUUUUUGUCUACAUUAUAUUGAAAUGUUUCAUUAUUUCAAACAUUUUAAUAGAUACUUAUUAUUCUUAACAUCUUAACAGGUACUCUGACCCAUAACUAUCGUAAAAUGCUUCGACCGGAAGUAGACAACUUUCGCGCAUGCGGGGUACCGAUCGGGUUUCCGGUACAGAUCGGGUGCAUGCUCGAUAAAACGGGCGGAUCGAGAACACAUCCGGGACUUUUUCGCGUUCUCGGCGUGAUGCGUACUUCGAAUUGGAACAGUACUUGGUCUCCGACUGAUGACGUAUCACGAGUACACGAGAACGCAAGUACGCACAAGUACGCAUAUUGAUAAACGCCCACAGCCUUUGAAUUGGGACAGCCUUCGGCGCGCCGCUGUGACGUAAUCGGCCUUAAAAUGCAGCCUUUGAGGCUGCAGACCCUGAAUUGGGAUACAGCCGUCGGAAUUGACCGGAGAAGGCACUGCUCUGGCCUGCACCACGGUUAGUAUAAGGCACAUUUUACGAAGCAAAACGCAGUCUUCAGAGAUCUCUACGUGAACACUGUGAUACGUCUGACCUUCAGUCCAAAGCAGAAACCCAGACCAGUCUUAAAAGAAAGCACAAACCAAAUCCCCUGUACACAUAUACGGACUCAGAGGAUGAGCACCGUACUCGAGACCCUCGAGUGAAAAUACCAGCCCUCACCACUCCGCAGUCUGCCCCCCAGCCCACUGAUAGCAACCAUCAUAAUGCCCCACCCAGCUUCCGGCACAACACACAAACCAACACAGCUUUGCGAUCUCCCCAGCAUGCAGAGUCUGAUGUCGCUGUCUUCCCUAUAGAUGAUUCCAGAGACUCUGUGAGGCCACUAUUACAAGAUGCGACCUCACAAAAGAUGUUAAUGAUGCAGUUAACGAACUCCGUGAGGAGGUCAGAGCCAACCACCAUCCCUGCUGCAAUGAAUCUGUAGAUGCUGGGGUAUUGCCUCUGGAUUUGCCCUUGCACAACAUGGAGGAGCUAAACAAUGCAGGGGCAGCUCUUCAAUCACCGGAGGCAAAUAAGGCAAUGGUGAGACGCUUUGCCUUGAUUGGAGGGACCACACUGGAGGUGCGAGUCCACCGCACCGCCAAACGAGCUGGCCUCGGUACUCAACUGGGCAGGGGAAAAAACCAAGGACCUUACAGAGCAAAAAAGGGCAAUUAAAGAGACAGCGCUGUGCAGAUGCAUAUUUGAUGGCCUGACGCAGCAGGUAGGGGCGAACUCUAUGUCUGAGUUGGUCUUUGCUUAAGCAGUCCAGAAAUGGCUCAGAUAAGCUCCAGAUCGUACGGGUGGCACAGGACGCACAUCAUCCAUCCCCAUCCCGGAGUAAAUAAUAAAAAGUGACGUGAAACAUAGAAAUGUAAAUAGGAAACUUUGUCUUUUAAUAAAGUAUUGAUACAUGUCUAUUGACCUUUUUUUUUUUUUUUUUCAAUAAAAAGCAACUGUGCAAAAGAGUUGGAAAAUCAAUACCAUAGCUCAACAGUGUUUCAAUAUCAGAAUCUGACAUUGUUUCAAUGUCAACAGUGUUAGAAAAUAUAACGUCGAAUCAAUGUCAGGUUUCAACAUUGAUUCAAUAUCAAAACCUGACGUUUCAAUAUUAAAAAAGGGUGCAAGAGUGACGUUAGGUCAACGUCACACCUCAACGUUGAUUCAAUGACAUCGCCUGAUAUUGACUAAACAUUGUUUCAAUGUUUCCUUGCUAUCUGGGUUAACCCACCCCCACCACCCAAAAAAAUGGUUUGUUGCAGCUCGGCUCUCCCCCACUCUGGCUCGAGCGCCGUUGCUGCCAGAGCGAUGGUGGCUGAGACGCAGCGGAGCAGAGGUGUAAGUGCCUGGCUUAAAACAGGACAUGUUAGCUGCAUUUAACCUUCAGUUACUCUUUAUAUAGGUAGGAGUCAGACCAUGUUUCUUUUUAGCUGAAAAACAUUACACCCAGGUAACCUGCAGUGUUGAAAACGUGUUUUCCCACGAUGUUUGCUACCCUACAAUCCGUCCUGCUCUGUAGUAAAAUCAGCGACAUUUUAUUGUCCUGUUACUCCCAUUGAAAUGUAUAUAGCCUAUUUAAAAUCUAAAACUUAAAAUUGUCCGUAACCUACUGUUGUUACCACUGUCCUGUUUGAAAUGGAAUGAGAG